CGGGCAUGAGACCAGCUGCAGCAUUCUCGGAGACCGCCCCUCCCGCCCCGCAGACGCGAGCAGGAGGGACGAGGCGCCCCGAACCCUGGUGGGAGCCCCACGGAGCAAGGGCACACCGCGACCAAGCGAGUGUUGGUCCGAGAAAAAUGUUGUUCCCCAGAAAAUCAGUGAGUUUCAAAGUUCUCAGCCUGGCGGCACCAGCAGUCAAUUGCCUCCGUUGCGGAACAGGCUGGUGUCUCCUUUCGCUGUCCCAGCCCCCGCCUCAGGGGAGCACGGCUCAGGACAGUCCGAAGAAGGCGGAGAGGAGACUGGGCUGGUUGCAGGCUCCGAAGCAGGCGUCAAAGCGGAGGACGGAGCCUCUGAAGGCGGUGGGGGCCAGAGCGGAGCCGCUGCAGGGGCAGGUUGCGGAGCGGAGGUUGCAGCGUCCGCCGGCGCGGCGGCAGCAGCCGCCGCAGAUUGCAGGGGUUACCCCCCAGUGGCGUGGUGCUGGGCCAGUCUCUGCGAAGGGCGCGGCGGCGCAAGGGGAGUGGCAGCCACGGACUCUGCAGCUGGAGAGGCGGCGGCGGGCGCUUGCGCGGGGGGCUGAUCAGUGCAACGGCCACAGACACCAGGACUGGGACGGCCGCCCACCCUGGACCUGCAGGACAGCUGGCUAUCAGGACCAGAGAAGAUCGGCUUGAGACAGUGACACAGUGGAGUGCCGGAUUGGAAAAAACCCUGAAAAUCAACAAGCCAACAUAGAACUAGGGGACCUAAGUGAUGUCUAAGGAUGGGAGCAUAAUCCAGUGCCUGCUUGGAUCCUUUUUGCUUCUCACCCUAACCUGAAAAGAUGUUAACUAGAGAGACAACCCGGGGUGUUGGACCGAAAAGGAGGAAUCUCCUAAUCUCUCGUGAGGAUGGAAUCCCCAGCUCUGCCUGCAGACCAGCGGACAAAGCUGCAUCACCCUCCUCCUCCAUGCCACUCCUGGGAUCAACGGCGGCGUGGGCGCGACCCGUCGAUUUCUCCCCACCUGAGCUGAUUCUUUUUAAUAAAGGCAUUAAAAAGGAGAAAGAUCUCCUGCCCAUUUUAUUUCAUUUUUCACAUGUAUAACCCUCCCCUUUAAUUUUUAAUUCUUAGGGAAUUUAAGGGUUUUUCUUCCCCAUUAUUUCUUUCAUCUUUCAAUGUCUAAUUUUAUUUAUCAGCAAACCUGAAGUUUAUUUGUAAAAGCAAAUAUCUUUUUCCAUUCAUCAAUCAGUGGAAUCCUUCCCAUUGUUUCUUUUAUCUUCCAGUGCUAGUUUUAUCUACCAGCAGACCCACAGCUAGUUUGUAAAGACAAAUCCACUAUUCCUCUCAUGCCGAAGCGGAUCGCGGAGGUGGCAGCUUGGGGCCGGUCGAAACAAAGAAACACCGCCUGCUCCAUCCAGAGUGGGGGUGAGCACCGCUGGCGGCCCACGGUGGGGGUGAGCCCACCAGUCCCUGCGGGGCAAGGAAUGCCAGAAAUGCCAGUGAGUGCAACUGCGCUCCAGCCGCCGCCCUUGAUGCGGGGAGAGUUGGAGCCGAAGGAAAUGGAGCGGGACAUUCUGCCACAGCCAAUCGGGACAUGGUUCCCGGAGCCAUCACAGGCGAAAAACCUGUCGGCUUUGUCACUUUCCUGUUCCCCAGGGUCUUGCGCCAAAGGGCUUUAGAAAUGCAUCUCCAGGCAAUGACCAGUGUAGAGCGGUCACAUCGCCUGUGAUGAUGGCAGUUAGCAAACAAUCACCAAGGGAUUUCAAAGUCUUGGUAUUGAAUGCAGUGCCCUCAUCUGCUGUGAACCCAUGAUCUCUGGCCCAGGCCAGCAGCUUGCAGAGGGCUUCCUCAGAGACAGCGAGUCUCAGAGGAAUUAUCAGAUUCCUCCAAGCAGAGACAAUCGUUUGUUCAUCUCUGGAAAGUUGGUUCCCCAUUUUUAAGGAAAACCCAUCCCUCAGCUAGGUGUCCACUUCAAGAGACAGUCUGCUGUGCCGGGAAAAGCCGUCCCCCACUCAGUUCUCAGCCUUCCAGAGCCGACGGCUGCUGUCCCAACAGGACCAGUCUUCUCAGGAAGACACGGUGCUGAUCACAGUUCCCUCUCUAGGAGGGCAGAAGUUGUCCAAUCCGUCUUGCAGGGAACGCUGGAGGUCAGCCCAAGUUCCUCUGACAGAGAUCUAGAUGGUCUCCAGUUCGUGCCAGACACAUGGCUGGGGUCAGUAAUAGUCACCCCAGUCUGUCUGUACCCUCAAGGGGGUCAGCAAUGUCAGGCCAAUGUUUGGACACACUUCAGAGGAGUCAUCAAAAAAUCAAGGCAGAAUGUUCACCCACAUGAGGGGUCACCAAUUAUCGUGUGACCCCCUCCAGGUGCACCCAACGUCGGAAGUCAUCAAUUAUUGUGCGACUCCAUGAAGGGGUGAUCGAUACAACACACUCAGGGUCACCGAUUAUCACUGGAGGGGUAUCGGGGACAGCCAAAGGUGAUACAGAGACUCCAUCCUCAGAAGGCAUCAAAAGACACUUUAUUAUUAGAAAUCUACCAUUUUUAUAGAAACAAUGGUGGACCUAAGACCUGAUUGGCCUUUAGGAAUCUUCUCUCACACUAUUGGUGAACUAUGAAUAGCACACUCUGGAGAACCAUAUCUAUAAACAAUGUUUACAGAACAAGAGAUAAUAAUUGUUUGAAUUCUUUCCUCUAAGUUUUCCACAGCUUCUACACAGCUUCCCAGGAUUUCCUGGGAAAACCAUGUCUCUCACUGUUCAGAGAAUAUGUAAUUACUGCAAAUAGACACAAGGAAAACAGACAUAAGACUUUAAACAAACUACUUUCUACACAGGAAUAAAACAAAAAUAACUAUUAGUAGAUAAAAUGCAGUGCACGAUAAAGGUACUCAUAUUACAUCUAGUGAAGAAAUAGUACAGAUUAGGAUUCAAUGUAAUUUACCACUGCAUUGGUGAUGGAUUACACAUAGAAUUCUUUCACUCAAUUCCCAGGGAAAUUAUCCAUGGAAUU